rnacentral:rRNA from 1 species
UACGAAGGGGGCUAGCGUUGCUCGGAAUCACUGGGCGUAAAGGGUGCGUAGGCGGGUCUUUAAGUCAGGGGUGAAAUCCUGGAGCUCAACUCCAGAACUGCCUUUGAUACUGAAGAUCUUGAGUUCGGGAGAGGUGAGUGGAACUGCGAGUGUAGAGGUGAAAUUCGUAGAUAUUCGCAGGAACACCAGUGGCGAAGGCGGCUUACUGGUCCAUAACUGACGCUGAGGUGCGAAAGCGUGGGGAGCAAACAGG